GCCAACGAUCAAAUCACGUUGAAUUCACCAUUUCUCGUCCGAUCAUUGAAGUUAAGCAACGUUGAGGGUGGAUAGUACUCGGAUGGGUGACUUAUGAACAAUAUUGUACGUAAUUU
rfam:Asian citrus Psyllid, Diaphorina citri - Florida Strain, whole genome shotgun sequence.